AUUGAACGCUGGCGGCAGGCUUAACACAUGCAAGUCGAGCGGAGCGAGGGUGCUUGCACCUUAGCUUAGCGGCGGACGGGUGAGUAAUGCUUAGGAAUCUGCCUAUUAGUGGGGGACAACAUUCCGAAAGGGAUGCUAAUACCGCAUACGCCCUACGGGGGAAAGCAGGGGAUCUUCGGACCUUGCGCUAAUAGAUGAGCCUAAGUCGGAUUAGCUAGUUGGUGGGGUAAAGGCCUACCAAGGCGACGAUCUGUAGCGGGUCUGAGAGGAUGAUCCGCCACACUGGGACUGAGACACGGCCCAGACUCCUACGGGAGGCAGCAGUGGGGAAUAUUGGACAAUGGGCGGAAGCCUGAUCCAGCCAUGCCGCGUGUGUGAAGAAGGCCUUUUGGUUGUAAAGCACUUUAAGCGAGGAGGAGGCGCUCUAGGAUAAUACCCUAGAUGCGUGGACGUACUCGCAGAUAG
rnacentral:rRNA from 1 species